rnacentral:ncRNA from 2 species
GAAUCAUCAUAUGACUGACGGAAGUGGAAGAAACCACAUGAAGUAUGAUCUUGCUGAGCCGACCGUCUGGGCAAUCUGC